GUCUCGGUGGUGUAGUGGUAGAGCACGCGUCCCGGGAUAGGAUGAAACGCGGGUUCAACUCCCCUUGAGGCC